rnacentral:rRNA from 1 species
GACGAACGCUGGCGGCGUGCCUAAUACAUGCAAGUCGAACGCAGUGGGGACGGGUGAGUAACACGUGGGUAACCUCCCAUCAGAGGGGAUAACACUUGGAAACAGGUGCUAAACCUAUAUUGAUGGAUGGACCCGGCGUGCAUUAGCUAGUUGGUGAGGUAACGGCUCACCAAGGCCACGAUGCAUAACCGGCAUGAGAGGGUGAUCGGCCACAAUGAGACGGAGACAAGGCCCAGACUACUACGGGAGGCAGCAUUAGGGAAUCUUCGGCAAUGGACGCAAGUCUGACCGAGCAACGCCGCGUGAGUGAAGAAGGUUUGCAGAUCGUAAAACUCUGUUGUUAGAGAAGCGGUAUCUAACCAGAAAGCCACGGCUAACUACGUGCCAGCAGCAGCGGUAAUUC